CCCUGUCUGAGCAGCCCAGAAUCUACCCUCAGGCAAGUCCUAAAGAGAAUACCUGGUGAGGCUUCACACCUCAACUUCUCCCUUGAAACCUUCACACCAGAAGGUGAACUGGUUUCAUGCUCUACCUCCCACCAUGGUCUUGAAAUAUAAAGGAGUGCAGCUGACAUGAGAUCCAUGGGGAUUAAUAUUUCCUGGUGACAUUUCAGGUAAAAUAGUGGGUGGAGAAAAUAUUACCGGAUGGGAA
rnacentral:lncRNA from 1 species